GGUCCAGCCCUGCUGGGAGUUCUCCUCCACCACACAGAUUUGCGGAAGAAUCUGACUGUGGACGAGGGCACCAUGAAGGUGGAGGUGCUGCCUGCCCUGACCGACAACUACAUGUACCUGGUCAUCGAUGAUGAGACCAAGGAGGCUGCCAUCGUGGACCCGGUGCAGCCCCAGAAGGUCGUGGAUGCGGCGAGAAAGCAUGGGGUGAAACUGACCACAGUGCUCACCACCCACCACCACUGGGACCAUGCUGGCGGGAAUGAGAAACUGGUCAAGCUGCAGUCGGGACUGAAGGUGUACGGGGGUGACGACCGUAUCGGGGCCCUGACGCACAAAAUCACUCACCUGUCCACACUGCAGGUGGGGUCUCUCAACGUCAAGUGCCUGGCGACACCAUGCCACACUUCAGGACACAUCUGUUAUUUCGUGAGCAAGCCCGGUGGCUCGGAGCCCCCUGCUGUGUUCACAGGUGACACCUUGUUUGUGGCUGGCUGCGGGAAGUUCUAUGAAGGGACUGCGGAUGAAAUGUGUAAAGCUCUGCUGGAGGUCUUGGGCCGGCUGCCCCCAGACACAAGAGUGUACUGUGGCCACGAGUACACCAUCAACAACCUGAAGUUUGCACGCCACGUGGAGCCCGGCAAUGCCGCCAUCCAGGAGAAGCUGGCCUGGGCCAAGGAGAAGUAUAGCAUCGGGGAGCCCACAGUGCCAUCCACCCUGGCAGAGGAGUUUACCUACAACCCCUUCAUGAGAGUGAGUGGCCCUGGCUGCUCAGGUGGGCGGUGGGCGUGGCUCUGCACAGCCUGCAGCCCGGUGCCGGCCUCCGCAGGGAGAAGACGGUGCAGCAGCACGCAGGUGAGACGGACCCGGUGACCACCAUGAGGGCCGUGCGCAAGGAGAAGGAUGAGUUCAAGAUGCCCCGGGACUGAGGCCGCCCUGCACCUUCAGAGCAUUUGAGGAUGAGGCUCUUUUAGGUAACUGGCUUUCCUGCUGGUCGCGCAAGAAAUUCAGUCUUGAUUUAACCUUAAUUUCACAGCCCUUGGCUUGUGUUAUUGGAUGUUCUAAUGCAUAUUUAUAAGAGAAGUUUAAAAAGUAUUUAUUCCCAUAA